ensembl:lncRNA ZCCHC14-DT ZCCHC14 divergent transcript
CAGGAGGAUCGCUUGAGGCCAAGAGUUUAAGACCAACCUGGGCAACAUGAUGAAGAAACUGAGGUUUAGAGCAGCCGCUUGCCCAGCGUAGACAGCGAGAAGGACAGGUCCAGUUCUGCUUGAUGAUGAAGCCUGUGUCUUCUCUGCUGUGUGAUCCUAAUCACGUUGGGAGGUUCCUGAGGAAGCAGAGGAUUUUGCCCUUGCAUUUGAGCCACAGCAGCUCUACUGCAAAGGAGAUGAGGAAGGACAGUGGGCAGGAUCUGACCAGAGUCUUUGCGAUUGAGCUUGCUCUCUUAUGCCUCUGCCAUCACCCACAGAGAAACAUGCCAAGUUAGCCGUCUGGUCCCACGAGAAACAUGGGAAACGGGGAUCAGAGCCAUCCUAGCCGAACUCAGCCCAGAUCAGCAGGCCUUAGUGGACCCCAAGAUAGCAGAGGGUCUGUAACUUUCACCAGAUUCUUAAGGAGUCUGUGACCUGGGAGAGUUUUAAGAGUGGGAAAGCUGUAAGGCCACGCUCAGGCUGGAUUCCAGCCGUGGGACCCCUCGCUUCA